UUAACUUGUUUUUAAAUUUAACAGUAAUCAGACUUCAUGAUUUUAUAAUAAAAUGGAUUUAAAUGGGCUACCGGCAGCCUUACCAACUCCUCCCGCAGAGGAAGGAGCGUGCUGCCGAAGCAUAAGAUAUAAAGUUCACAAAGGGGUUAAGGGACUCAUUCAACCCCAGCCCUUUUCAGGGGGCGAGAGGUGUGAGAGGAGUUAUGCGCAAAGCACAUCCUUUUUUUAAUGAUCCUUCCGCAGGUUCACCUACGGAAA
rnacentral:misc_RNA from 1 species